UAAGCUGAUUUAAGAAAUUGGAGGUGUCUCCUUAGUUAUGAAUAUGCUGUGUUCUGGUGUAUAUUUUUAAGAAAAGUCCUUGGAUAAAUUGAAAUUACUCACUUUGAUUCAAAAGUGCAUUGUUGAUUGCAAUUUCCCUCUAAUUAUGUGCCCCAGUAACUUUUAAUUAUGAUUCAUUUGCGGAGCUGGGGAUACUCUAAUGGCUGUUCCUUAAUAGUGAGUUAUUUUUUCACAGGAUUGGCCAGCCCUCUGGAUUGGUUAGAGGGACAUCAUUGUCUAAAAGCAACAGAUGCCAGCAAAAAUGAAGGAGCAGGAAUACAUCUGAGUGCGAUCAUACAGCCAUCUUGUAAGGAGGGGUAACAGCAUUCAGUUAUUAAAGCAUUGAGUUUCCACCAAGAUGAAAACAUUACAAGUCCAGGUAACAUGUUUAUGCAUAAGGACCCAGAAACAAUUGGGGGGAUUCUUUUUGCAUAACAUAGGUGAUUUUUUUAUUACAGCCUCUGAUUUUUAUAUUACAUAGACCCGUAUUUUUCUCAAAGAAAUAUAUUUGAUUCCUUUAUUGUUUUCUCAAGCCAUGUUUCUUAAGCAAUAUCUUUGCUUGUUUAAGCUUUUUUUCCACCAGUCUGCAUUAGAGUCUCUUUUUUUUUUCUGAUGUAAAGACAGAUGUUGGGAGGGGGAAGGGAGAGAUGGUCAUAGACCUUAUAUCUGAAUUGGGUGCUACUACAAACAUGAUGGAUAUAGACU
rnacentral:lncRNA from 1 species